rnacentral:rRNA from 1 species
CCUACGGGUGGCAGCAGUGGGGAAUCUUGCGCAAUGGGCGAAAGCCUGACGCAGCAACGCCGCGUGCGGGAAGAAGGCCUUCGGGUUGUAAACCGCUUUCAGUAGGGACGAAAACAGACGGUACCUACAGAAGAAGCCCCGGCCAACUACGUGCCAGCAGCCGCGGUAACACGUAGGGGGCGAGCGUUGUCCGGAUUUAUUGGGCGUAAAGAGCUCGUAGGCGGCUCAGUAAGUCAGGUGUGAAACCUCCAGGCUCAACCUGGAGACGCCACCUGAUACUGCUGUGGCUAGAGUCCGGUAGAGGAGCGUGGAAUUCCUGGUGUAGCGGUGAAAUGCGCAGAUAUCAGGAGGAACACCAACGGCGAAGGCAGCGCUCUGGGCCGGUACUGACGCUGAGGAGCGAAAGCGUGGGUAGCAAACAGGAUUAGAUACCCGGGUAGUCC